UACGUAGGUGGCAAGCGUUGUCCGGAAUUACUGGGUGUAAAGCGCGUGUAGGCGGCAGACCAAGUCGGCGGUGAAAGCGCCCGGCUCAACUGGGCGAGGUCCGUGGAAACUGGUCAGCUGGAGGACGGUAGAGGCGAGUGGAAUUCCCGGUGUAGUGGUGAAAUGCGUAGAGAUCGGGAGGAACACCUGUGGCGAAGGCGGCUCGCUGGGCCGGUCCUGACGCUGAGACGCGAAGGCGUGGGGAGCGAACGGGG
rnacentral:rRNA from 1 species